AGAGUUUGAUCAUGGCUCAGAAUCAACGCUGGCGGCGUGCCUAACACAUGCAAGUCGCACGAGAAAGUGGAGCAAUCCAUGAGUAAAGUGGCGUACGGGUGAGUAACACGUGACUAACCUACCUUCGAGUGGGGAAUAACCUCGGGAAACCGGGGCUAAUACCGCAUAACAUCUUCUGGUUGAGAUACCGGUUGAUCAAAGCAGCAAUGGGCUUGAAGAGGGGGUCGCGGCUGAUUAGCUAGUUGGUGAGGUAACGGCUCACCAAGGCGAUGAUCAGUAGCCGGCCUGAGAGGGCGCUCGGUCACACUGGAACUGAAACACGGUCCAGACUCCUACGGGAGGCAGCAGUGGGGAAUUUUGCGCAAUGGGGGAAACCCUGACGCAGCAACGCCGCGUGGAGGAUGAAGUCCCUUGGGACGUAAACUCCUUUCGACCCGGACGAUACUGACGGUACGGGUGGAAGAAGCACCGGCUAACUCUGUGCCAGCAGCCGCGGUAAUUC
rnacentral:rRNA from 1 species